rnacentral:rRNA from 1 species
CUGGGUGACCAUAGUGGAGGGGUCACACCCGUUCCCAUUCCGAACACGGAAGUUAAGUUCUCUACGCCGAUGGUAGUGGGUUAAACCGCGAGAGUAGGUCGUUGCCCAGU